rnacentral:tRNA from 1 species
CCUUCGAUAGCUCAGUUGGUAGAGCGGAGGACUGUAGAGGCUGAAUGCUGGCAUCCUUAGGUCGCUGGUUCGAAUCCGGCUCGAAGGA